CGCCGCCCCCGGCCCGGCCCGGCCCCGCCGUGCGCGGACCGCCGGAUCCCAACAAAGCGCGGAAAGAAACGCACAAAGCAUCAAAAGGCAUCAGCGCCAAUAUUAGCGCUGAAAAUGGAAGAACUGCUCGGUUUUAUCCCUCUGCCCCUGCCCAGACCUGCGGGACCCUGCGGUGGAGACAGACCUCCUCGGGACACAGCUCUCUGCUCUAAAAACUGAAUGCUACUAAAGCCAGUACUGUUAAAUUGGUCUGCUCUUGAACAUUCCUGGGCCAGAAGAAAACAAACAAAAAUGCUUAAUAAUUAAGUAGGUAAUCCAGAAAUUAUGUUUUUUUCGUGAAUCCUUUUACAGUCUUUCUAGAUAUUUUAUUAUUUUAAAACAAAGUUUCUUUGCUGCAUUUUCUCAGAGCUCAAAGCUACUUCCCAAUUUAUUCCUCAACAACAUUACUCUUACUAUAGAACUGUGAGUAUGCUGGAUGAGACUCCUCUAUGUUAUAAUUCCUCUGCGUCUUGCUCUGUACUAUCCCUUCCGAGUUCUGUCUCCUGCGCUGCACAACCAUUGAGCUAUUUGUUAGAAAUCCCAGACCAUGGGUUUUUUUAAAUUUUGCUAUGACAUUUUUAACCAUAUGGAAAUGACACUCAUGAAGAUGCAGGAAGACACCAGACAGCCAUUCUAAGCCAAAUAAAUCUGUAAUGAAACCUUCAUAAAGAAAGUCACUAUUGUCACAAAAACCAAAACUGGAAAGCAACACAAGUGUUUUGAGAUUAGAACGUGAAACACGCUUGUACCACAGAGGACAGGAUCUAUGUGUACUUAGCAACAAAAGCCAUUUAAUCCAACAGAGCUCUUUUAUUCUGGUAAUAAUUUCAUGAUUCGAAAAUAUGCACAGCCAUAAAAUGAUUGAACAGUUGUAAAUCAUCAUGCACAAUGAAAACCAUUUCAAAGGUUCUCCAGCAUCUACGAAAAAACGGCAAAGCCUUUUGCAGGCUGAAAAUACCGCUCCCCCUCAGUGAGAUGGAACGCAGAUAAAAUAUCCUAAAGGAAUAUAUCCUCUCAGUAAUGGCUUACAAACCUAUUCCAUCUAGAAUAAGAAAUAAAUUUUUAACUGACAAACAUAUAGGAGAAGGUGGAAAGAAAACCCUGAGGCCACUACAUAUUUAAAACCUGAAGAUUUUAUUUGGAAAAAUAGGUUUGUACUUUUCACAAUUGCAAAGAUAACCAUCCAUAUAUGAGCAAAUGCAAAGCAAUGCAAUGUUGUCUUGAGUCUGCACAGAGGGAGCUCCAGGGUAUCUGCUGCUGCUAAUGGCUUUGCCAAGCAGCAGCCGAGUGCAGGGAACAAGCCUCCUGUCAGUUCCCUGCUGCUCCACGCAAUCCUGUGGGCAGCAGGGAAAUUGGCAGGAAUCACCUCAAAUUCUCACUACUGCUGCUGCCUGCAAAAGCCAUUAGCAGCAGCAGCAGGUAUGGACCCUGGUGGUGCUCACACUGCAGAGCUAGCCCAGAAAAAUACUCAGGGAACAGAUCAGAACAACAGCUGUAGAAUUCCUCACACAUGCCCUGACCCACAGCCAGGGGAGCAUCUUUUUGGCACUAUUCAAGGGAAUUUGACAUGCUGUCUCACAGGAGUAGAAGGUGCCCUACACAGAUAUUAAUGAUUUCUUAGUUAAACAAUGGAAAAACAGUCAAGUUACCAGGCAAUAUCAAGAAGCAGAAUCAUGACAGCAUCCUUCCAAUAGCCAGCAGUACUCUGCUAAACAGGCUUUUCAUAGAAAGGCAUUUCCUCCAACACUUUGUUGUGUUUGCAUAGGACAUGUGUUUGAAGAUGUUCACUGGCAUAACAGUCCUUCUCCCAGCAAGGACAAACCACCAUCCUCAACUUACAGACAUCAGUUUUUUCUGCUCUGAAGCCUAAACCCAUUUUCAUUUGCUCCAUAACAACAAAUAAUUCCUUCACAUUCUCUGCAUAUCACUACAAAAGAAGCCCCAAGAAGGUGAAUUUAACACUGAAACUACUUCUACCUCCUAGAAAACCCUCCCAAAUCCUGCCUUAUCUGUUCCAAUAGUAAAACAUGGCACUCUAAGAACACCUCUCCUACAGUAGGUAUGGCCAUUCACAAUGGAAUAGCAUUACUUUCAGUUCUGUGUGUGCACAAAACCUUUCAGAGUCUCCAAAGUUGCACUCAUUCUUGAUAUAUUCUAGGAACUGAAUAUAUCAAUUAUAUUGAUAUAUUCAAUAUAUCAGACAAUGCUUUUCACUGAAAUUUUAACAAGUCACACAUUUGUGAUUGAAUUAUACAAGGCACUUUAGUGAAAUAAUGUUUUUCAUUUGUGGGUCUACUGACCAUUAGAUUAGCUGCCACUAAGAGCUAAAUUAUGACCCUAAGGAGUGUAACAACAGAAAGUUAAGGUUUACAUCUGCAAUGCCUUGAGUGAUUCUUUCACUCCUGUUGGAAGCAGUACACACCUGCAGGAAGAUGCUCAGACCAAGUACUGUCUGCCUUGAGAGCCUAACAAGUUCUUGACAGUGUACCAAGGUCCUCAGGAAAUCAACAUGACCUUGACAUCAACUGCACUAAAAGCAGCUACAAUUAGCCACCUGGAAACUUGAUCUUUAUGCAUUACGACAUUACCUUUGUUCAUGUUUAUUACUAAACAAGGCAUCUCUUUGUGCAUGUCAAGUCACCAGAACAGUAUUAAUAUCAGAACCAUAGUGCAAAUAAAUAAAUUGCAUGACUUAAUAGUUUGGGGACUUCGUUCAAAUGGGCUUCUCAUUUUUUUCACAUUAUAAUCACAUGAAAACUGGAAAACUGCAGUUGCUUUUAACUCACUACAGUGAAAAAUCUUAAAGGUAAAUCCAUUCAUCAUUUGAAUUAUAAAAUUGUAUUUAGGAAUGCAACUCUAAAAAUCCCCAAAGCAUGUAUUCAACUCAGUGAUGCCUGAAUUUCAUACUAUUCUGAACUUCUUUCCCCUAUCUGCAAAAAUAAGUCUCUGAUGACUUUUAAUGGUGGAUUUGUAAUUAAAAAGUUUAUCUAUUUAAAAAACACAAAACCUCUAUCUGUAAACUACUUACAAUAUCUAUGUGUCACCUGACAUGCAUGCAGAAAGGCAUCUCCUUUGCUGCAUGGCAGUCCCAGCAAAAGAUGUAGUUUUCUCUAGACAGUAAACUGAGAUUUUCAGUUAAUCAGGCUACUUUUACACAUAUAAUGGGAAGAUCACCUAAAUAUGGAACAGGGUUUCUUUCCUCCAGAGACAACUCCCUCCAGAGUUCAUUCUGAACUGCUUUUUAUUUUCUUGUUCAAGUCCCACACCAUCUGCUGGGACUGCUUCACAAAGCCAAGAGCACUGGCAAAUGAAGAUCUGUGGGGUUCUAUCAUUUUUCCAGUCUCUUUGGUGCAUAUAUGGGACUAUUAAGACAGCCAAUGAAGUAUUCCAAAUUGUGGUUCUUUCAAUAUGCUGAUAGUAUGCUUCCUUCUUUUUCUGGCUUAUUAUAACUACUAAUGAAUUUCUCAGUAUUUAAUGGAUACAGAAUUUCAAGACACACAUUUAUGAAACCUAACCCAAAUUAAAAUAGGCAUGCUACAGAUAGAUUAUGAAAAAAAAAAAAGAACAAGAUACCAGGUGAGAGUCUAUCCUUUUCAUCUUCCAUAUUUGUUAUCUAUAACAUUGGUAAAUGAAUGGCUAACAAUUACAGCACUUUGGCCAGACAGCAGUUUUUAUCUGUGUAACAGUCACUUCAGAGCAUACAUCUGUGAUUUAGGAUGUGAAUGUGGUUUAUGCCUCACUAGGCAUUUAGCACCAUGCUUAUAACCUAAUUUUAAAUUUCUGUGCAAAUGAAAACACUAAUGGAAAAGUCAGCAACCUUAAACUAGUCAUGUUUCGACAAUGAAACAUGCACCUGUUGGCACGUCACACUCUCUACAUAGGAUGUUGUUUCACAUCCCAGUGCUACAGAACCCAGUAAUAAUAUCACUAAUCAUGUUUUGCCACUAAUACAGUGGAGAUACCAUAGUUGUCAUUAGUAGCAGCUUCUAAACCAGUGACCUGCCUUAUCUUUCAUAGGGGCAAGAUCAAGCCAUGUCCAUAUAAGCAGCUGCUAACCUGGGUGUGCUGCAGAGGCAGCAUCAGAAGUUACAGAAUGAGUCUGUGGCACACAUUUUGCUUCCAUUUGGAAGAGAUUGUUUGAAGAAAGUAUUUUGGGGCCCAGUGCCAACUAUAGUUUUCUGAAUAUUUAGUAGUGGUAUGAAAACUGUGUGUAAUUUGCAUGGUAACUCUUAAAGGAGGCACUAUGUAAUGGAGCAUACUAAAUUGCCAGGAAAUGAAAGAAAUUGAGAACUUCAUCCCACUUGCUCUGCCAAGCUGCUGCAUUUAAUGUGUUUCAGUUUUCAGUGGUUUGGUGUUCUGUGCCCAUCAUGUACCCAACUUCUCUUGGGUUCCCGUCUGUAAUGUAACAGCUAUUUGAAAAAUGGCAGACAAUGCCAACAAAACCCACUGCCUCAGCAAAACUUCUCAGUGCUCUUCUACAUGCAGGGCCAGAACACCCAGAACUUGCACUGGUCUAAGCGUGAUGCAGGGCACACUUUGUGGUGCAUUAUGGCAGUAUCACCACACUUACCAUAAGAAAACCAUGGGCUCCUGCCUAUGAAAAAAAUGUUACUAUUAUCAUAUCCAAGGCACCUGGUGGAUGCACCACUGAGUUUAGGCUCAGACCAAAUUCACAGUCAUGCCAUACUUCUACUUUAAAAUUUUCUUCUUUAGUCUACGGGUCAAAACGUUCCGGCAAAAACUUCCGUUUCUUUCUCACAUUCUUGCCUAAUCUUAACCUUACAAAUUUUGCAAUUACUUGACUCCUUGAAAAACAGGAAUGACUAAAGUCUCUACUCUAUAAAAGGCAACUCAGGUUUCAGUUCACUGUUUGAAACGACUCUUAUGUGGACAUCUGGAAAUAAAUCUGUAAAAUACUUCACCAAAUAGUUACAGAGAAGAAAAAUCAAACAUGUAUUUCUGUUUUAAAAAGAGUAGUCAUUAGGGUUCAAAAUCCUCAGGUAAAGCUCUGAAAUAUAUUGAUCCACUGAAAUCUAACAUCAUCCAACACCUUCUUGGAUGGUACAGAUAAGAACUUGCUUCUCCUGGAACACAUGCACAUACAUAUGCCUGAUUUUACAACUGGAAAAGUUUGUUUAACAUGUAAAGCCGGAUAGCGUCUAUCCCCAGUGCUUUUUUAAUGACCUUUUAAACUCCAGAAAAAAAAUAACAUGACUGAAACUGCUCUAAUUUAAGGUGACAAAAUCCUUUUAAAUGUUUUAAAGUCAUUUUAAAAUGAUUUAAAGGUAAAAUAAUGAAGAAUUGACUGCAGAAGUCUUCAGAACAGAAAACAAAAUUGCAACCAACUUAAAAUUCAACUGAAUUUUCACAAGUUGCCAUUUACCCACCCAUGUUCUAUAUGACCACUACUUUUAUGUGCCACUGAGAAAGUUAUUUUCUCUUUUUUUUUUUCCUUAUCAACCAGAGAAGAAGGCCAGAAGACAAAAAGCCUACCCAAACUACCUUCAAAAAGAACAUCACAUGAAGAGUUUUCUUUCCUCUUAAUUCUAAUAUCCAAGAGUGUCAAGGACCAAAGUUCCUGCUACAACAGAGUUAGCACAUCAGGCUGAGCCUUACCUAGGCCUCGUGGACAACAGCUGCAAUGACUUAAAGAUAAAAAAUGCAUAUAUACUGCAUCUUCUUAUCCUUCUGAGGACUACAAACAGGUUUCCUGGAAUCCAUUUUCUCUUCACCCUUCACCCCAAGUAUGCUCAGGGAGCCCAAGAGCCUCCACAGCCCUGUUCCCAACCCUUCGUGCUGCUCCCACGGCAGGACUGCUCACACACGCCCCGACGCGACCACCUUCCCAUGAGAGCUGCUGGAUCCUGGAGGCUACAGACAUCUCUGACAAGAGUGGCUACUUGGGUGCACCCUCUUUUUUUUGAGGCAGGGAAGGGGAAAGAAAGGAAAUGUUUAUCAAAACCAACAGAUUGCAUCUGCUGCAUCAUUCGCUUAAUCAAGCUCAUCUCAACCACACUGCUGGAUAUCCGUGUCCCAUGAACAUCACACCACAGUUCAUAGAAGAAGUUUCACUGGUGCUGAUUAGAAACUGAAGAAUGCCAAGGAUGGAUCUGAGUUUGAGACGGUGCCCGAACGAGUUCAGAUGACGGUG